GAUGAACGCUGGCGGCGUGCCUAAUACAUGCAAGUCGAGCGAACGGACGAGAAGCUUGCUUUUCUGAUGUUGGCGGCGGACGGGUGAGUAACACGUGGAUAACCUACCUAUAAGACUGGGAUAACUUCGGGAAACCGGAGCUAAUACCGGAUAAUAUUUUGAACCGCAUGGUUCAAAAGUGAAAGACGGUCUUGCUGUCACUUAUAGAUGGAUCCGCGCUGCAUUAGCUAGUUGGUAAGGUAACGGCUUACCAAGGCAACGAUGCAUAGCCGACCUGAGAGGGUGAUCGGCCACACUGGAACUGAGACACGGUCCAGACUCCUACGGGAGGCAGCAGUAGGGAAUCUUCCGCAAUGGGCGAAAGCCUGACGGAGCAACGCCGCGUGAGUGAUGAAGGUCUUCGGAUCGUAAAACUCUGUUAUUAGGGAAGAACAUAUGUGUAAGUAACUGUGCACAUCUUGACGGUACCUAAUCAGAAAGCCACGGCUAACUACGU
rnacentral:rRNA from 1 species